rnacentral:tRNA from 1 species
GCGUCUCUUGACGCGAGGGCAGAUCUUGCCACAACCGAUAGAUUAGGGCGACGACAGCCCUGAAAUGGCUGGCGUCGGCGGUUCGAUUCCGUCCCUGGCCA